AUGGUAGUUGGUUAUGUUAAAAAGCUAACCAAGCCUUAGAUGCUUAGCAGGCUUUUAACGAGUGAUCUGCCACAACGGGCUUGAAAUAGUGCCUGAACAUUUAUGGCAGCAGUAAAGAAUCUUGGGCAAUGCAUUCAAGUGUGACCCAGCAAGUCUCCGUGGAUGAUGAAGAUAUUAAAUUAUAUUGUAAAAUUCUAUCUUUUUAUAUUUAUAAUGAAAUAUAAAAAGGAAAGCACAGGCUAAAUUCGUGCCAGCAGCCGCGGUAAUACGGAUUGUGCAAGUCUUUGACCUCGUGACUAGGUGUAAAAGGCCACAUAGGAGGUUAUAUAAGUUAUUGAGUAAAUACAGGGUAUAAACCUUGGAAUCUCAAUAAAACUUUAUAACUAGAAUAUAAAAGGGGUUUAAGAUAUCUUCUAAGUAAAGGUGAAAUUUGUAGAAAUAGAAGGG
rnacentral:rRNA from 1 species